rnacentral:piRNA from 1 species
AUGCAUUGAAAAGAAAACGUGAAGAUGAUG